UUUUUUUCAAUAACGCACAGUUUUGGUAUAACAGUACAUGUUGAAUUUGUGCUGGUCAGACGAAGUUUGAACAUUGAGACAUACGCAACUAAGAUUGUUCAAUAAACAAUCACUUCGUCUCCUGCUCUCCUCGGUCAACUUCUUGACUGACAGAAGACUGUUAAACACUCAUUUUGGGUAUCAACAGCUCUGCUGACUAGUUGUUCUGUUACUGGACAAACUGAUAUUUUCUGACGGGAUCUGGCAUCUGGGGCUGGAUCCUAAUUAUUAUCUGGCGUGGA